GCUCCCAUCGUCUAGUGGCCUAGGACGCGGCCCUCUCAAGGCUGAAACACGGGUUCGACUCCCGUUGGGAGCGCCA
rnacentral:tRNA from 1 species